rnacentral:rRNA from 1 species
AGCAGCCGCGGUAAUUCCAGCUCCAAUAGCGUAUAUUAAAGUUGUUGCAGUUAAAAAGCUCGUAGUUGAAUUUCGGGGUCAGUAGGUUGGUCGUGCCACUGGUAUGUACUGGUCUCGCUGAUUCCUCCCUCUUGUAGAACCGUAAUGCCAUUAAGUUGGUGUUGCGGGGAAACAGGACUGUUACUUUGAAAAAUUAGAGUGUUUAAAGCAGGCUAACGCUUGAAUACAUUAGCAUGGAAUAAUGAAAUAGGACGAUCGAUCCUAUUUUGUUGGUUUCUAGGGUUGACGUAAUGAUUAAUAGGGAUAGUUGGGGCAUUAGUAUUCAAUUGUCAGAGGUGAAAUUCUUGGAUUUAUUGAAGACUAAACUACUGCGAAAGCAAUUUGCCAAGGAUGUUUUCAUUAAUCAAGAACGAAAGUUAGGGGAUCGAAGACGAUCAGAUACCG